GAGAAUUUAGUUAAAAAAUAACAUUAAUUUGUCAUGUUAAAAUUAUAUAAUAAAUAAUUCUUA
rnacentral:tRNA from 1 species